GGGCCGGCGGGGCGGCACUCACCGCUGCAGCACCAGGACGACGGGGAGCCGUUGGGGAACUUGGCCGAGUCCGGGACGAUGCAGACGCUGGAGCUGAGGCCAAGAAGUCAAAUUUGGCAAGGAUACUAUUGUAUAUACAACGAGACUGGAUCUUCUGGAAGUAGCUGUCAAAGCAGGGAACUAAUCCUAUGAAGGCUUCUUGGACAGUGUCAGAAAAAUAGCUACUUUGGUUGGUGCUCCAUAUCCAGAUCUUCUCCAAAAAGAUUCACUAUCCUGUAAUGUUGUGGACCCAAAGUACAUAGAAAGCAAGAAUUCUGAAAGGAUGAUCUAUAUAUAUGGAGGACAAAACAACUUCCUGGGAGAUGGCAGAAAUGAGGAAGUAAAUCAUGAAACUUUGGCUUCUGAACUGCAUAUAACCAAACUGGACUCACUCCUAAUGAGGCAUGUGGUUGUGUGGUAUCACAGAAGUUUUAUCAGUAAGCUCUCUGGUUGUUUGAAGUACCCUCUGCCCCUCUGAUUGGAAGACAAAACAAAGAAUUGCUUCUUGAAUCUCCAUUUAAGGAUGCCAUCCAAACCAGCCAUUUCUUCCAUUUUUCUCCAGGUUGUACUCCUUCAGACUUAUCCAUCAUGUCCCCUUUCCCCAUUUUCAUUUUCUUCUUUUGUAUUGUCUUCCAUAUUAAAUUGUAACUCUUUCA